CAGUAGCCGCGGGAAUACGUAGGGUGCAAGCGUUAAUCGGAAUUACUGGGCGUAAAGCGUGCGCAGGCGGUUUGUUAAGACAGAUGUGAAAUCCCCGGGCUCAACCUGGGAACUGCAUUUGUGACUGGCAAGCUAGAGUCUGGCAGAGGGGGGUGGAAUUCCGCGUGUAGCAGUGAAAUGCGUAGAGAUGUGGAGGAAUACCGAUGGCGAAGGCAGCCCCCUGGGCCAAUACUGACGCUCAUGCACGAAAGCGUGGGGAGCAAACAGGAUUAGAUACCCCUGUAGUCCCUGUCUCUUAUAC
rnacentral:rRNA from 1 species